AAGGACAUAUUCUUUAUAAGCCAAGUACAUGUUUUAUUGGUCCUUUUGUCGAACCGCUAAGUUACGGGGACGUAAACACAGUAAAAUAUUGGUUGUGAGGAGACAAACACAGACGCAAGAUAUAUAGAUAUAGAUAUAUACAUAUAUAUGUAUGUAUACACACACUCACGCACAUGCACACACACACACACACACACACACAUAUAUAUAUAUAUAUAUAUAUAUAUAUAUAUAUACACACAAUAUGGGACAAGAACGCAAAACAUCCAGAUAGCUAGGUGAUACAAAAAGGAGACAACAAAUCAUCCAGAUAGACGAUGCAAUGAAAACAAGGACGGGUCAUUCGGAGUUUUCUUUCCUCAUCUGCGUAGCUAGCAAGACAUAUUUGAGAGGGCCACUAUGAAAAGCAGUGGUCACAAGACUCACUAUUUGUGUUUCCUUUGAGGUGGCUCCAUUGGCCACCGCUGCCUGAAUUCUGUCUUUCAGAAAGUCAUGUAACAAUUCUCCAGGUUUUGCAUCUAUGCCAGGAUAGCGCAGCUUGUGAUAUAUCAUACCCUGAUUAAAUUUAUCAAAAGCUUUUGCGAAAUCAAGGUAUAUUACGUCCACAUUUGAGUUGCCGAGUAACUGCUUCAACACCCGGUCAUAGUGCUGCAGAAGCUGGGUCAAGCAGCUACUAUCUGGUCGAAAACCCUGCUGGGUAUCACUCAGCAAGUCGUUUUCUUCAAUGAAAGCGAUUGGUUUCCCUCUGACUAUACGUUCCAUGAGUUUGCCGAAGUGUGAAUAGGCCUAUAAUUUUUGAAAUCUGCUCUGCCGCCUCCUUCAGUUUUCUUGGCAGCCGGCCAUUUGCAAGAAAACUUUGGAAGAGAAUUUGUAGUGGUUUUGCCAGGACACGCUUGCACAAUUUGAGGAGGAUUGCUGGGAGACCAUCAGGGCCAGCAACUAAGUUUGUGUCCAUCUCAUCUUUGGCAAUUAUUAUAUCCUCAUCACUAAUGUCGAUGUAAUCCAUCGUAACUGCUUCGCUGGUUAUAGGUUAGACAGCAAAGAAAUUCACUGUCUGUGUUCCAAUGAGGUGAUAAAGACACAUUUCAACUAGUCAUUCUCUGCCUCACAUUUGUGCUCCGAAGCUAAUGUCAGCGUCGCUUUCACAUUAUGAACGAUGUCGGUAUUGUUUGUGAAGCAGAGAUCCAGUAUGUUAUUUGCCCUGGUUGGGCGGAGUACAAUUUUCUCCAUGAAUUUUUGUGAGGUGGAGCAGGGACUCAACUUGUACUUAUUUGCAUAUUUGUAAUGAGUCAUUAUUCAGAGCAUAAUGCCCUCGAGCUAUUUAUCCCUGGGGAAGACGAAAUCUCCCAUCAGAAACACACUCACAUGAUGUUCCAGUUUCGUGAGGUUUCCUUUUAUUUUUAUGAGACAAUUUUCAAACUUGCCCGUGUGGUUUGGCGCACUCGGUGUGCGAUAUGUAUUGAUUAUUUCUAUAUUAUGUUGUCUUAUGUUUACAACUUGAGUGUCACAUACUGAGUUUGAGUGUGACAGUAGGACCUGGGGCAUGAGGUCCUCACGGGUGUAUACAGCAAACCCAUUACAGAUUCUUUCCCUUCUGUCUGUUCGCAUUAUGGUAUAUUUUGGUACGUGUACUUUUGAAUCCUCUAUAUCAGGCCUAAGAUGAGUUUCCACGAGGGCUAUGCAUAGAUCGCAUUUCAACAUGGAUCUGCCCGAUCAGUGCAAACCUAAGGCUAAACACAAUCAACAAUCACACCCAAACACACACAUCUACAGACACGCCCACGCACACUCACGCACUCACGUGUGCACACACACGUAUAUGUAUAUGUACACGUACAUGUAUAUGACACUCUUGCAUAUGGCAACGGAAUUCAACCCUAAUGAAGAUUUACGACUUAAUAUACAAGAAAACUCGAUAUAACUGCUACAUACAUACACAGGGUAUAUAUAUAGAAAUGUGCGUUUGUGUGUGUCUGCGUGUGCGUGCGUGCGUGUGUUUGUCUGCGUGUGCGUGUGUGUGUAAGUAGGUAAGUCUACAUAUGCUUAUAUGAAUGUAUGUGACUUCAUUAAUAUAUAUAUAUGUAUGUACGUGUAUAUAUAUAUACAUAUAUGUGUGUGUUUGUGUUUGCGUGUGUAUGUAUGUAUUUAUAUAGGUAUUUUUAAUGGAACUGUAGCCAAAAACUGGAAGUAGCUCAUUGUGUGUAUAUAGAUAGAUAGAUAGAUAGAUAGAUAGAUAGAUAGAUAGAUAGAUAGAUAGAUAGAUAGAUAGAUAGAUAGAUAACUUUCUUUAUUGGUCACAUAGUGCGGAACACAGAGGGGACAAAUACAAAUGUAGAGCUUUUGUUUUCGAAAAUGAAAGGGAGGGGGUAGGAGAAAAAAAGAAAAAUUACGAUCAAAAGAGUCGGGAAGAAAAAUAUGAUAGAUAGAUAGAUAAGUUUCUUUAUUAGCCAUACAGGGCUGCACACAGAGGGACAAGUUACAAGGUAGAGCUUUUCUUUAGGGGGAGAAAAAAAAAAGGUGGCGUAGGUUUUCGAUCAAAUGGGAACGUAAAAGGGAAAAAAGAACAAAAAAAGAAGAAAAGAAAAAAGGGAAAAGGAACAAAAGAAGAGAAAAAUGAAAAAAAGAAGAAGAAAGAGGAAAAAAGGGGAAGAGGAAAAAAACGAUCAAUAGGGAUCGUGUAUCACAGUGUCAUGGUGUAUGGUGUAAAUGGGAUAGCAAGUAAGGUUUAUCCGUGGGAAGAAAAGCCUACGAAAAAGACCACGGUAACCUUGGUCAGUAUUGUUACAUGUUACCACAUUUGUUUGCAAGUGAUUAACCCUCUGUUUUCAAUUUCUGGGUUCAUAGGAUUAUGCUCAAGGUGGCUUCGUCAUUCAUACGUGCCAUCCUUGCUACAUUCACCCAUCAGUUUUUUAAAACGUUCGCUAGACAAAACUUGCCUCUCUACUCUCACUUUCCUUUUCAAGUGGUACUUGAAGAAGUUGAUGAGAGGUUGACCAGAGAGGAAAGUGUUUGUCUCCAAUCCUUUCAGACGCGUCCACCAGAUACAUUCUUUCGCCAUAGCCACAAGGAUGAUGAAAAUAGCUCUUCCUUCCCGUUUGAAGGCAGGAGGCGUGACAUUAUUGACGAUAGACUCAGCUGAUAAACCGACUCGUCCCACACGUGACAGCAGUUGUUCGACAUAAGCCCACAGGUCGGAAAUUGUUGGACACUGCACGAGUGCGUGCAGAACGGUUUCGUCGCUCUGACCGCAUCUCGGGCAGGUCGGCCCCGUGUUUCUCGAGCCGUGUCUGUAGAGCUUAUCCCGAACGGGUAGCGCUAGAUAGAUAGAUAGAUAGAUAGAUAGAUAGAUAGAUAGAUAGAUAGAUAGAUAGAUAGAUAGAUAGAUAGAUAUAAGUUUCUUUAUUAGCCACACAGGGCUGCACACAGAUAGAACAAAUUACAAGGUAGAGCUUUUCUUUUGAAGGUUUAAAAAAAAAAAAAAAAAAAAAGGAAGGGGGAGUUUCGAUCAAAAGGGAUCGUAAAAGGAGAGAAAGAGGACAAAAAAAGGGGGGUUAAAAAAAAAGGGGAGAGGAAAAAAAAAUUGAUCAAUAGGGAUCGUUAUCACAGAAAUGUCAAUAUGAAGUGUAAAGGGGAGGACAGGUGAGGUUUACCCGUGGAAAGAAAAGCCUACGGAAAAGACCACGGUAACCUCGGUCAAUGAAGUCACAUUUUAUAUUUCUUUUUUUUUUUUUUUUUUUUGCAAAUAAGCAACUCUCUGUUUUCGAUUUCUGGGUUCAUAGGACUAUGCUCAAGGUGGCUUCGUCAUUCAUACGUGCCAUUCUUGCUACAUUCACCCAUCUUUUUUAAAACAUUCGCUAGACAAAACUUGCCUCUCUACUCUCACUUUCCUUUUCAAGUGGUACUUGAAGAAGUUGAUGAGAGAUUGACCAGAGAGGAAAGUGUUUGUCUCCAAUCCUUUCAGACGCGUCCACCAGAUACAUUCUUUCGCCAUAGCCACAAGGAUGAUGAAAAUAGCUCUUCCUUCCCGUUUGAAGGAAGGAGGCGUGACAAUAUUGACGAUAGACUCAGCUGAUAAACCGACUCGUCCCACACGUGACAGCAGUUGUUCGACAUAAGCCCACAGGUCGGAAAUUGUUGGACACUGAACGAGUGCGUGCAGAACGGUUUCGUCGCUCUGACCGCAUCUCGGGCAGGUCGGCCCCGUGUUUCUCGAGCCGUGUCUGUAGAGCUUAUCCCGAACGGGUAGCGCUUCUCGGUAGCACUGCCAGGCCAGGGAUCUCUGGAAGUUGUCCAUGGGCCCUGGCCCGAAAGUCGUCCUGAACAGGCGGGUCAGGUACUCCUCGUCGACGUCCAGGUUCGCCCCGAGCUCGUCGUCGUACCUCCCCUCCACUAAACCCCUAUAGAAUGCUUUGGUUGUGUUGAAGUCACUUAAGGUCGACCCAGGACGGCAGAGUUGCUUGAGAGCAACGCGACACUCGCGGUGCCAUUCGCCCUUCCUCGGCCUCUUUUUGAUCCACGACUGCAGUUCGGUCAUGGAGACGAGCUGCGGGAAAGCGUGCCUCACAAACGGCGACCACACCUGUUCACCGUCGUCUACAUAGAGCCAGAGAUGCCGCAGUCUCAGCGCGUGUCUGCGCAUCAUCAACCACGGCAUGCCCAGCCCUCCUUUUAACGGGUGUUGACAGCAAAUGGAUCGCCUGACCAUCGGGACGCAUCCUUUCCACAAGAAGCGAAAGAGGAUGCGUUGUAGUUUGGUGAUGGUAGGGUCGGGACAAGGUACGACGGUCAGGCGGUAGUAGAUGACGGACGCGAUGUACGUGUUCGCCACCUCCGCUCGACCUUUUAGGGACAGUUUCCUCUCGGCCCAUUGCCGGGCGAGAGUGACCACCCUACUCGUUAUCUCGUUCCAGUUCUUCUCCACUUGGAGGUCCGGACCAAACCAGACCCCGAGCAACUCAACCGGGCCGUCGGUCCAGCGUCCCACGACGGAGGCGCUGGUGGACGGCAUGGGCUUGCUUCUCCAGGUGCCUAGUCGCAAGCCCACUGACUUUUCCCGGUUGAUUUUCGCUCCUGUCACCGCUUCGUAGUUUUUCAGUGUCUCGCCGACCAGCUCGAUGUGCUCGUGGCUAGACACUAUGACGGUGACGUCGUCCGCGUAUGCAGACACGCUCGUCCCGUAUCCCAAUUCUCGCGGGAUGCCCCUUAGAGUCGCCAGCUUCCGCAGUAGUGGCUCAAGAGUCAAUACGUAUAGAAGCGCCGAGAGGGGGCAUCCCUGACGGACCGAACGUGCAAUGUCGAAAGGUCUCGAUAGAUGUCCAUUUACGCGAAUUACCGAACGGAUGCCUCUGUACAAGGCAGCUAUCCAGCCGCGGAAAACGGGACCGAAACCAGCCGCUCUCAGGACUGCCCCCAAGUAUCGAUGGUCUACCCUAUCAAAGGCUUUCGAUUGAUCCAAGUUGAUCAGGGCCCCACCCAUGCCAGGUUCGUUAACUACCCUGUCUAUGAUGUAGCGCAUCAGAUGGAGGUUGUCAUGGAUGGUCCGGCCUGGCACGGCGCAUGUUUGCGCCUUGUCGACCAGUUUCUCGAUGACAAGCGCCAACCUCUUGGCUAGCACCUUGGCCAAAAUUUUCAAGUCUGCAUUAAGCAGAGUGAUGGGCCUAAAGUUAUCUAUUACAUUUCCCUUGUUUAGAUCUUUCUUCAGCAGUGUUACGGCUCCUCGGCUCACAAAACCAGGAAUGCUCCCGUUUUGCUGCCAGUUGCAGUACACCGCCGCCAAGAGAUCUCCAAACAAGUCUGGCAUACAAUUGUAAAGCUCGUAGGGUAGACCAUCCAAACCCGGUGAUUUGUCCCUCGAGCAUUCUGCCAUCGCUUCCCGCACUUCCGCCGCCGUGAUGGCACCUUCGCAGCACCCUGCCUUUCUUGUCGAGAGUCGUGGUAGGCUAUGUAGGUAGGCACUGAAGUCCACCCUACGUUCUUGCCCUCCACUCGUUCCGAACAGUCGGGCAAAAUGCUGCUGAAAGGCCUCACACAUUUUACUUGGCUCGAGCAAUUCGCGCCCCUGUUCAUCUACCAGUGACCGAAUGGUGGCUUUGUUGCCCUGUUGCGCCUCUGCCACCCGGGCCUCUUUCGCGGCUCCAACACCUUCGUUCCUUAGAGCACGCAUCCUAGCUCUGACAGCACAUCCUUCGUGUUUGGCGUUGAAGUGUUGGUCGAGGGCCAACCUCGCCGCCAAAACGUCGGAUGCGAUGCCGCUUCUAAUUGCCUCUUCUAGCUUCUUAACUAGCUCACCCUCUACUCUAUUUCUAUCUAUGGCUAGUGCUUUGCUGUACCUAAUCGCUUCUGCUUUUACUGCUCUCUUGAGGGCAAACCACCAUUUGUUGUUGAUGAUGGCUCCCGUCAAAGCCCUCUUUACUAGUGUGCUAAUCUGGUCUCUGAAAACUUGUCUCGAUGGGAAAGACGCGUUUAGUUUCCAGUAUCCGGGACCCUGCCUAAGUGUCUUACCUAAGUCUAGCGUACAUGUCACAAGUUUGUGAUCCGUGUAGCUGACUAUGUGGAAUUGUGGACAUCCUAUGCUAUCUCUAUCUACUGUCCUACACAGUAUCCUAUCUAGAUACGAUCUCGAUGACCCGAUGCGGUUGCUCCAUGUCCACGUUGGCGCAUUCGGGUGGUCUAGUCGGAACCUGUCAGACAGUUGAAAGCGUCUGAGCAGGUCUCUGAGGCAUUUGCAUCCCCGUCUAUUCCUAUCUCUACCCACGUAGUCUACAUGCGUGUCCAAGGUGAUAGAUAGAUAGAUAGAUAGAUAGAUAGAUAGAUAGAUAGAUAGAUAGAUAGAUAGAUAGAUAGAUAGAUAGAUAGAUAGAUAGAUAGACAGAUUGGUAUAUAUAUAUAUAUAUAUAUAUGUAUAUGAGGGAGAGUAACUGAUAUAUGUUGUGAAGUCUGUGAGAUAUUUCAACCGAAUAGUUGCUUCGCCUCUCGAGUUUCAAGCUUCUGCGAUCAUCAUGCGUGAACUAUUACAUAACGAAUCUGGUGUAUAUGUAUAUCUUUUUUGUUUCUUUCGAUUAGCGUUCUUCUUUUCUUUCAUGAGUAUUUUACUAAAUUAACUUUACUAGGAAGGUAUUUAUAGGCUUUUUCCUUUUAGGUUCUUCAAUUUUGUUGGCGAAUCAGUUUGUUUCAUCGUUGAUUCUUUAAUAUACUCUACAAACUUAUUGAAAUCACGCUUCAUGAAAUGUCUCUAUACCUUAGCAAGAUUUAAUCAAAUCUGUUCAUUUAAAGAUUUUCUUUUUUAUUCUGGAAAGUUUUUGAAUAUGGUGUUUGGAGACAUGAAGUUUUUAUAUGAAAUUUUUUCAUGAUUCCGUGUUUCUCUUUGUUUCAGAGAAUAUGUGUAUUCGUAUGUGGGAGUGUGCGUGCGUGCUUGUGUGUGCACACGUGUGUGUGUUUGCAUGCGUGUGUAUGUGCAAGUGUGCAUGCGUGUGUGUGUAUCUGAGCACACGUAUGAGUGUGUGAGUGAGUUUAUGUAUCUGCAGGCUUAUGAUUUAUGAUGUGGCUUUCAUUCAGUGCUUCAAGAAAAAGUAUUGUCCUAAUGUAUAUAUAUAUAUACAUAUAUAUACAUACAUGAAUACAUACAUAUACACUCUCUUUUUUACUCUUUUACUUGUUUCAGUCACUUGACUGCGGCCAUGCUGGAGCACCGCCUUUAGUCGAGCAAAUCGACCCCGGGACUUAUUCUUUGUAAGCCCAGUACUUAUUCUAUCGGUCUCUUUGGCCGAAGUGCUAAGUGACGGAGACAUAAACACACCAGCUAGGGGGAUAAACACAGACACACAAACACACACACGCAUGCAUAUAUAUGUAUACAUAUAUACGACAGGCUUCUUUCAGUUUCCGUCUACCAAAUCCACUCACAAGGCAUUGGUCGGCCCGGGGCUACAGUAGAAGUCACUUGCCCAAGAUGCCACGCAGUUGGACUGGACCUGGAACCAUGUGGUUGGUUAGCAAGCUACUUUAUUUCAAAACAUUUGCCAUAAAGGCAGUACACAGAUUAAGUUAGCUUUGCGGGCUGGACGAGGACAUUAAUGAGGUGAAUGAUAAUGAAAGAAAGAUGAUAAGGAUGGGAGAAGACAGAAAGCGCCCGCCGACUUUUGCUUCUCUAAAACAUUGUUCUUUUUAAAAAAGAUUAACACAAAACGAGGUAUUAAACCUCUUACAAUUUUUCCAAUUUUGGGCUUAGCAGUCCAUUAUUAAUACAAAACGAGGUAUUAAUCCUCUUACAAUUUUUCAAUUUUUGGACUUAAGUCCAUUACUAAUAAUACAUAUCGUCCUCGAAAUAGCUUGUGCCCGCGCCCUCCACCAUCAACCACGCCUCCCUCAGAACGUAGUCAAGUUCCGAGUUCGCGUCGCCCGGGACCAAGUUAUAGUCUUCAUUGAGCUCCUUUAGCCCUAGCGUCACGUCGAACGCCACGGCCUCCACAGCUACCUGCGGAGGCCAUUCGGGGUCCUGUGUGAAGGCUAAAGGUGCUCCCUUGUAGUGCUCUUCCAUCACUUUUUCAAUUUCUCCUCCUCUAUAGAAGAGGACCAAUACAUUCAGUUCUUUCGUUGGCGGCACAGUUUCCGCCAACGGUAUUCCUUCUCUUGUCGGUGGCACAACCCCAACCGACGUAGUUCCGCGACAUUCCGGUGCUACACUGACAGCCGGUAAUGUCCCGUUUUUCUUCCUCUUUUUCUUUUUUUUUCCCUUUUCAACUGAGGGAGGGUGCGUCUCCUCCGUGGCUGGAAGAUUCGCCUUCCUCUCCUCAUCCCUAUUAUCCUUUGGUGAGCACCCAUUGUUGCUCACCUUCCUCUUUCGGCCUCUGUUUGAGGAGUCCUCUGCUUUCUCGGCCGUUAUCGUUCCCUCUUCUAGAGGGGUUUUACUUAACUGUUCCGGGAUCCUAUUUUGUUCCCGAGGACAGUUCUUCUUUAUGUGGCCGGACUCCAAGCACCGAUGACACUUAGGGGGGCGACCCUCAAGCAUCACCGGGUACCUGCACCCGGCCAUUUUCAAAAAAUCUGGAAGAACCAGAUUGGCUGAUUGGGUCCACAGAGUCAAAAUUGCUUUCGACCCAACCCAAGCAGCCGCAGGAAGAACUUUUACAUUGAGGAGCUUAGUUUCGCUGUCACCCAGACUCCGGCGGAUAGUCUCCUCUAUCCACUCGGGUUCUAUGUCGGGUGGCAGUCCGCAGAUCCAAGCUUUCAUCAAUUUAUUUUUUUGUACGUGGGCAGGAAUAAGAUUUCCUUACCCUCCAAGGGUUCGCUAGCAAAUUUGCAAGCCUCUUCAGGGGUGUCAAACAGCAACCACACCGUUGCAUAUUUGACACCCCUGGAAAUGAAUUUAAUUGUUGGCAAAUACUCCUCCAACUCCUCCUCAAUUGCCGUCUUUUCGAAUAGGGCGAUGGUGUCAAGUGCCUUGGACUAGGUUCUCAACACCACCGUCCUAUCUUCACGGUCCUUCAACCACUUUUUGGGUGGUAUGAUUUCCCACUCCAAAACUUUGUUAUUUUUCAUUGCCAUGUUUUUUAAAUAAUAUAUUCAAAUUAGACUCAAAAGCAGGAAGAAAAAAGUUCAAAAGUCUAAAUAAAUUUGAUAGAUUUUUGAAAAAACAAAAAGUAGAAAGCACAACAGAAGGGAAGAAAUUAACGGAAAGUCGCAAUAAGAAAAAACAAAAAGGGGGGGGGGUAAAUGAAGUUCAAAAGAAAGUUAAUAAACAGAAAAAACACAGCAAAAAUAUUCUGGCCUUGCGGUACUCCCGGCCUGGGUUGAACCUGGAACACCGCAACUGCAACACAACCUCCACAAAAAGGUCCGAAAGGUAAUCCAAUAGUGGCUUAUUUUUAUACUUUUCUUGCGAAGUACUCUGACAAGGGAAUAAAUUCAGCAAACUCAAACACAGCACUGGCUACCGCCAACGGUGAUUUUAACAGUAACUGUAUUGAAUUCUGAGGAUACGCCCCUCCACUGUUUUUUCUUUUUUUUUUUUUUCAAUGAACACAAAAACGGCAGCCGCCUAGAGCAGGCGAAAUUGUCUCAGAGUUGGACACAACUUACUGAAAUAAUAAUUGGCACGCAAUAAAUUAUGCCCAACUCACAAUAAACAAAAUCACUUACCUCGACAACUUUCCGUUUUUGGUCUUUUUUCUUUAAUUGGACGGAGCUAAUUGACUCGCGUCCACUCUCGCUGAACAGGAAGCAACUGACUAAUUGCCUAUGUGCGUUAGCAAAGCUACUUACCACACAGCCACUCCUGCGCCUAUAUAUAUAUAUACAUACAAACAUACAUACAUACAUACAUACAUGCAUACAUCCAUAUACCCAUAUAUAUGGGUAUGCAAACAUGUAUAAAUAUACAUAUAUGCAUACAUAUAUAUAUAAAGGUAUAUAUAUGUAUAUGCAUAUAUAUAUAUGUGUGUGUGUGUGUAUGCGUGUGUGUGCGUGUAUGUGUGUGUGUUUGUGUAUGUAUCGUAUGAUUAUAUAAUUAACCUGCGUUGGUCGUUUAUCGCUCGAUUUUAAUUAAUUUCAAAUUUCCGGCAACGAGAUUUUCUUUGUGUUUCGACACGUGUGUAUAUGUGUAGAUACAUGUACGAGGUGCUUUGUGUGCUAAGUUUCGAUCUGUUUGUUUUCGGUUCAAAUUUUAUGGAUAUCUAUUAUUUUUGUGGCUGUCAUAAUUAUACAUACAUACGUAUACAUACAUAUAUGUGUGUGUGUGCGUGUGUGCAUAUAUGCAUGUAUGUGGUAUGUAUAUAUGUAUAUACGUAUGUAUGAGUGUAUGUAUGUAUGUAUGUAUGUAUGUAUGUAUGUAUGUAUGUAUGUAUGUAUGUAUGUGUGUAUGUAUGUAUGUAUACAUGUAUGUAUGUAUAUAUGUAUGUAAGAGACGGACAUCUGUUAGAAGCCUGCGAAACUCUCAGUCGCAGAGAGCCGACUCAAACUUUUUAAAUAAUACAUGUAACUACUAAAAUUAGUUGGGUGCUCUUUUCUUUCGUAUGUCCACAUACUCGUUAAUACUCACACAUACACUCAUAUAUAUAUAUAUAAAUGAAAUAAUUGGAGUCGAACGAAGAUGUUAACAAAAUUCCUUUAUUCUCGACAUAUGUUUCGAAGAAAACAUGGCUUCAUUCCAAAGGAUUAAAGGGUGCAUUAUGCAAUCUUCUCAUCAGGAAAGAAAGGGAGCCUCUCUCGACAAGACAAACAAAAUUUUCGCUGACUGCCUACAUGGUAAACAAAACGAUAAUGAGUGUUUUUUAAAAAACCGUUAGAAGGCUCCCUUUCUUUCCUGAUGAGAAGAUUGCAUAAUGCACCCUUUAUUCCUUUGGAAUGAAACCAUGUUGUCUUCGAAGCAUAUGUCGGAGGUUCUACCCUUGGACAGGUCGCUUCAACCGUGUUUCUGACGUGAAUUUGCUACCCUGGUUUCAACGAAUUUUCCAUGUUGACGAUAAACAUAGGAUAAUUCAUUCACCUAUUUAAAUAUAUAUAUAUAUACAUAUAUAGAGAGUGAGAAAGAAAGAUAGACAGACAUAGAUAGAAAGAUAUAUGAAUGUAAGUCUAUAUGUAUAUGAAAAUAAAUGUAUAUAUAUAUAUAUGCACAUAAAUAUGUAUAUAUAUAUAUAUAUAUAUAUAUAUAUAUAUAUAUAUCUACACACAUGUAUAUAUAUAUGUAUAUGCAUAUAUGUAUAUAUGUGUUUAUGCAUAUGUGUAUAUGUAUAUAUAUGUGUAUGUGUACGUGGUGUGCAGUGGACGUGCAUAUGAACGUACAUUACUUACAUCUAUACAUAUGCAAAUAAAUACUUUUACACGUAUGUGUGUGUGUGUGUGUGUGUGUGUGUGUAUGACUAUAGUUAUGUGCAUGUAUGACUAUAGUUAUGUGUGUAUGACUAUAGUUAUGUGCAUGUAUGACUAUAGUUAUGUGCAUGUAUGACUAUAGUUAUGUAUAUAUAUAUAGUUGAAUGUGAAUCUAUCAAUGCGUGAUUUAACCCAACAAAUAGUUCCUCCUUCAGUACUCGAUGAUGUAGUUGACUAAUAUCACGUGUCACUCUCUGUUGCUAAGUAGAAACGGUAUUUCGGUAACUCCCUGAUUAGAAUGGUCAGGUUUACUCAGACACAAAAUUUGACCCUCUCCUGAUAAGUGCUAAAUUCUCCAGGUUUACCGAUAUUCAAAUCAGAAUGAUGUUGAUGUCAUUAUUGGUGAUGAGUGCGUAUGCAUGUGAACAUAUUCCUGAGAAUAAGGAAUUUGCAUUCAAUAUAUGAGAUUGUAAAGGGGGUGUUUAGGAGUUUAUCAGCAAUCGCCAUGUUGAACAUCAAUAAUUUUAGUGUAUGCGUGUGUUCCGAGUGCAUAUGUGUGUAUGUAUGUAUAUAUUUACAUACAUAUGCAUUCAUACACCUACACAUAGAUAUAUAUACUCAUACAUAUAAUUAUGUACACUUAUAUGUAUGUAUACAUAAAUACAUACAUGUACACGACCCUAAAGUACAUUUUUAUUGUUUAUGUCAUAUAUAUGUUUAGGUAUAUAUAUAUACACACAUAUAUGCCUAUAUAUGUUAUAGUAGUUAUAUUAUAUGUAUUGUCCAUAUUAUGUUAUGUAUAUAUAUAGGUAUGUAUAUAUAUAUAUAUACAUAUAUGCAUACAUACAUAUAUAUAUAUACAUAUAUUUAUAUAUGCAUAUUUGUAUAUAUGUAUGUAUAUGAGAAUAUAUAUAGAUGUAUAUAUAUAGGUAUAUAUAUAUACAUCUAUAUAUAUAUAUAGGUAUGUAUAUAUAUAUAUAUACAUGAGUAUAUAUAACAGAUAUGAAUAGGAAUUUAUAUCUUUGCAUAUGCAUAUAUACACAAAUAUACAUAAAUUACAUAUAUAUAUAUGUGUGUGUGUGUGUGUGUAUGUGUGUGUGUGUGCGUGUGUAUGUGUGUUUGUGUGUGUGUUUGUGUGUGGAUACAGGAUUUAAUUCAUAAUUAUUUUCCUUUACAUAUAUUCUGUGAGUAACAUUUCGUAUAAUGAUUUGGACGAAAACCAAAGGCUAGAGACAAACCCGAAAAUUAGCUCCAACAACAUUAACAACAACAAUACCAAAAGCAAUAGUAACCCUUCUAACGCAACAGCAACAACAACAGCAAGAAAAAAAAAGCUAAUGCUAAUAUAAUGAAAACAAAAGAAAAUAGCAUUAACAACGAUAAUACAACACAAACAAAUGAAAUCAAAAUUUUACUACAUUGUUGCUUCAACACAUUCUCAAGAUUUAUCAUAGACGCGUUAAUAACAUGUCAAGUAACGCGAAUUGCUCAUAUAUAAUAUAUGAUGCCUCCCCCGUCUCUCUGUAUCUCCUUCUCUCAUCUCUCUCCCUCUCUCUCUUUCUCUCUUUCUCUCUCCCUCUCUUUCGUAUAUGCGCGUGUAUGUAUGUAUAUUUGUAUGCAUAUUUGUAUGUUUUGUUUUAAGUAUGUAUUUUCCUGCAUAUAGUUUUAUAUAUGUAUUUUCAUGCACAUAGUUGCAUAUCUAGACAUGCUCAUAUAUGUAUGUAAUUUUGUAUGUAUGUAGGUAUGUAUGUAUGUAUGUAGGUAGGUAGGUAGGUAGGUAGGUAGAUAGGUAGGUAGGUAGGUAGGUAGGUAGAUAGGUAGGUAGGUAGGUAGGUAGGUAGGUAGGUAGGUAGGUAGGUGGGGUAGGUAGGUAGGUAGGUAGGUAGGUAGGUAGGUAGGUAGGUGGAUAGGUAGGUAGGUAGAUAGGUAGGUAUGUAGGUAGGUAGGUAGGUAGGUAGGUAGGUAUGUAGAUAGGUAGGUAGGUGGAUAGGUAGGUAGGUAGGUAAGUAGGUAGGUAGGUAUGUAUGUAGGUAGGUAGGUAGGUAGGUAGGUAUUUAGAUAGGUAGGUAUUUAGAUAGGUAGGUAGGUAGGUAGGUAGGUAGGUAGGUAGGUAGGUAGGUAGGUAGGUAGGUAGGUAGGUAGGUAGGUAGGUAGGUAGGUAGGUAGGUAUACGAUGGAUUUCUACACAUUGUCGUUUACUAAAUUCACUAAGGUAUUAUUCGUUGAUUCGCAGUUAUAGUAGAACACACUUGCCUUAGGUUGUACGCAUUGGAACUGAACCCGAAAUCAUGAGAUUCCAAAGCGAACUUCAUAACCACUCUCCUGUUUACCUGCAUCAUCCCAUUUCUCUAUGUAUAUCUACCAAAACACUACCCAGCCCAAAAAUAUAUAAAAAAAAAGAAAGGAGCCAAUUAGACAGCGUUGAUAAGCCGAAACUUCAAGGUCACUAUCAGUCCUUUCUUUUAAUAAAUACGUGCUCUACUAAAAUGUACCAAGUGAUCUUUCAGUUGAAUACUGAAUUGUCUUUCAUGAAUAACUUUACAUAGAAACAAGCAUUAACGUAUGUCUAUAUCUAUGAGUCUUUCAUUCAAAAAAUCUCAUUCAUAGCUGAUUGUUUGUUUACUCUUGUAGUCUCUUAUUCUUUUACUUGUUUCAUUCAGCUGACUGCGGCCAUAUUGCAGCACCGCCUUAUAGGGCUUCAGUCAAAACAAUCCACCCUAUGACUUAUUUUUUAAGACUUGCACUUAUUCUAUCGGUCUCUUUUGCUGAACCGCUAAUUUACGGGGACACAAACACAACACUGGGGGGGGGGGCAAAAACGGAGACAAAGACAUAAACUCACGUCGAUAUAUACAUAUAUAUACACAUACAUAUACGAUGGGCUUCUUUCAGUUUCCGUUUACCAAAUUUACUCACAAGGCUUUGGUCGGCUUGAAGCUAUAAUAGUAGACACUUCCCCAAGGUGCGACGCAGUGGGACUGAACCUGGAACCAUUUUUCUAAACAUAGAAGGGACAAACAAGGACAAACAAACGGAUUAAGUCGAUUACAUCGACCCCAGUGCGUAACUGGUACGUAAUUUAUCGACCCCGAAAGUCGACCUCGGCGGAAUUUGAAUCCAGAACGUAACGGCAGACGAAAUACCGCUAAGCAUUUCGUCCGGCGUGCUAACGAUUCUGCCAGCCCGCUUCUUACCACACAGCCAUGCCUAGUUGUAUAACAUCAUAGUUUGUUCUCCUCAUGACCAUUACCAAAACAUGAAGAGGAAGUUAAUAAUCAUCUCACUAUACCAGUCAACAUAUGUUCCCUUAUUCCAUGUUUCCAUUGCUUCCUGAGAAUUGCUUCAUGUGGCUUUUGGUACUACAAAAAUAUGCGUUCUCCUUUUUCAAUGUGCAUCACUUCAUAAGAAUUCGAUAAUUCAGCAAACACAUGAUGUUAUUUUACUUUAUGCGAAAAGACUCGUAUGAAUUUGCUGUUUCAUGUGAAUUUCAUAUUCCAAAAACACAUACAUUUACGUAAAUUCGACAGGCCAUACCUGUCCUUCCUCUAUACGAUUUGCAUCAUGUGAUUGUGUCUUUGAAAAGCAAUCACGCAUUCCCUUACUUUGCGGGUAUUUAAUAUAUACCAGGAAAUGCAUGUUCCAUUGCUCAGGUGAAUUUCUUUUAUAUUAAUUGUUAGUGUUCAAGAACUUCGUGCUGCAAUGUAUUCUUGUUGUUCCUGUCCAGUAUUGCUGAAUCUUCCAGUGUUCCAUGUAAAAGCGUCUUCAUUAGCACGCAGAAAUUAAUUUCUGAUCACUUUGGGAUUCCAAAAUUACCACAUCUUCGUCUUCGCUGUUUUUGCUUUGUUCCCCUCUCAUUGCCUCACAUUUAUUUUUCUAAUACCGUCUUUCUCUCUUUUUCUCUCUUGAUAUUUUUCUCUUUCUUUUCUAUAUGUAUUCAUAGAAAAAUAAGAUUUGUCUGGAAAGGCACUACAGUGCAAAAUAGCGUUUAAUUAUAUCAUUUAACAGUAUAUUGCUUGUUAAAACUUGUCUUCCCAAUCGGCUGUGAUACGAAUUUGGGUGCAGUAAUAAAAAUAAAAAAAGAAUAUUUUUUUGUGGGAGAGAAAAUAGCACGCACGAAAAAUAGAUCACGUUCAGACGGAAUAAAAUCGAUGAGAAGAAAGAAAGAAUAAUGUUUAGUACUGACAGAAUGUUUUAUAUUAUCAUCGGCUUAACUUACUCUUUUCCACACCUGCAUGGAUCAGACGGAAUUUACUGAGAACGAUUUUAUUACAGUUUGAUGCUCUUCCUGUCACCAACCUUCACUUGUUUCCAAGCAAGAUAAUAUAUCCCCAUGACCGACUUGUUUACAAGGAAGAUUCUAAACAAGUAACAACAUUUGCAUGGCGUGGAAGGUAUUCUAAUAUAGAAGUUGCCCUGAACUUUGAAAAAGACUCAUUUGCCAAGCUGGAGAAUUUUAUAUCCCCGGAUACAAAUUGUAGUCAUUGUGAGGUGCAGAUUUUGGCAACAUUAUAAAUAGAAGUAGGAUGGCUAGAUGGGUAGAAAGUUCGGCUAAUAAUCAGGAUGCCCUGGGGUUGACUGAACUCCAUUACAUUUUGAGAAAGUGCUUUUCCUCAUUGCUUCUGAUUAAUCUAUACCUUGUGAAUAACAAUGAGCCAUCGGGAGCUGGGUGGAAAUCAGUUAGAUAGACUGUGCGGGUGCUUCAAAAGUGGGUAAAAGAAACAGUUUUAUAAAAGCGCUAAACUUUGAUGAGGUGUAUCGUUUUCGGACCGUUUUGUUCUGAGAAAUUUAUGUACCAAAACUCUAUGUCCAAAAGUCUUUGUCAAAGACUGCAAGUACAGAUUGCAGAUAAGUGAUCACCUUUACCGCCGGACUCCACACUCGAUUGCUCAUAGAUCAGGUAGUUCAAUCCGUUAUGUUUAUUUAUACGUAAGAUAAUCUAAUAUAAUUCAUCAAAUAUUGCAAUGCCUAAAUUCUGUAGACUUUAAAAGAUUUCUUUUGUGAAAAGCGCAGGAGUGGCUGUGUGGUAAGUCGCUUGCUAACGCACAUGCGCAGUUAGUCGGUUGCUUUUUGUUGAGCUAGAGUGGACGUGAGUAACAAGCUCUGUCCAACUAAAGAAAAAAGACCAAAAACGGAAAGUUGUCGAGGUAAGUGAUUUUGUUUAUUGUGAGUUGGGAAUAAUUUAUUGCGUGCCAAUUAUUAUUUCAGUAGGUUGUGUCCAACUCUGAGACAAUUUCGCCUGCGCUAGGCGGCUGCCGUUUUUGUGUUCAUUGAAAAAAAAAAAAAAAGAAAAAACAGUGGAGGGGCGUAUACUCAGAAUUCAAUACAGUUACUGUUAAAAUUACCGUUGGCAGUAGCCAGUGCUGUGUUUGAGUUUGCUGAAUUUAUUCCCUUGUCAGAGUACUUCGCAAGAAAAGUAUAAAAAUAAGCCACUAUUGGAUUACCUUUCGGACCCAUUUUUGUGGAGGUUGUGUUGCAGUUGCGGCGUUCCAGGUUCAACCCAGGCCGGGAGUACCAGAAUAUUUUUGCUGUGUUUUUUCUGUUUAUUAACUUUCUUUUGAACUUCAUUUAACCCCCCCCCCUUUUGUUUUUUUCUUUAUUGCGACUUUCCGUUAAUUUCUUCCCUUCUGUUGUGCUUUCUCCUUUUUGUUUUUUCAAAAAUCUAUCAAUUUUAUUUAGAUUUUUGAACUUUUUUCUUCUUGCUUUUGAGUUUAAUUUGAAUAUAUUUUAAAAAAAACAUGGCAAUGAAAAAUAACAAAAUUUUGGAGUGGGAAAUCAUACCACCCAAAAAGUGGUUAAAAGACCGUGAAGAUAGGACGCGGUGUUGAGAACCUACUCCAAGGCACUUGACACCAUCGCCCUAUUCGAAAAGACGGCAAUUGAGGAGGAAUUGGAAGAGUAUUUGCCAACAAUUAAAUUCAUUUCCAGGGGUGUCAAAUAUGCAACGGUGUGGUUGCUAUUUGACACCCCUGAAGAGGCUUGCAUAUUUGCUAGCAAACCCUUGGAGGGUAAGGAAAUCUUAUUCCUGCCCACGUACAAAAAAAAUAAAUUGAUGAAAGCUUGGAUCUGCGGACUGCCACCCGACAUAGAACCCGAGUGGAUAGAGGAGACUAUCCGCCGGGGUCUGGGUGACAGCGAAACUAAGCUCCUCAAUGUAAAAGUUCUUCCUGCGGCUGCUUGGGUUGGGUCGAAAGCAAUUUUGACUCUGUGGACCCAAUCAGCCAAUCUGGUUCUUCCAGAUUUUUUGAAAAUGGCCGGGUGCAGGUACCCGGUGAUGCUUGAGGGUCGCCCCCCUAAGUGUCAUCGGUGCUUGGAGUCCGGCCACAUAAAGAAGAACUGUCCUCGGGAACAAAAUAGGAUCCCGGAACAGUUAAGUAAAACCCCUCUAGAAGAGGGAACGAUAACGGCCGAGAAAGCAGAGGACUCCUCAAACAGAGGCCGAAAGAGGAAGGUGAGCAACAAUGGGUGCUCACCAAAGGAUAAUAGGGAUGAGGAGAGGAAGGCGAAUCUUCCAGCCACGGAGGAGACGCACCCUCCCUCAGUUGAAAAGGGAAAAAAAAAGAAAAAGAGGAAGAAAAACGGGACAUUACCGGCUGUCAGUGUAGCACCGGAAUGUCGCGGAACUACGUCGGUUGGGGUUGUGCCACCGACAAGAGAAGGAAUACCGUUGGCGGAAACUGUGCCGCCAACGAAAGAACUGAAUGUAUUGGUCCUCUUCUAUAGAGGAGGAGAAAUUGAAAAAGUGAUGGAAGAGCACUACAAGGGAGCACCUUUAGCCUUCACACAGGACCCCGAAUGGCCUCCGCAGGUAGCUGUGGAGGCCGUGGCGUUCGACGUGACGCUAGGGCUAAAGGAGCUCAAUGAAGAUUAUAACUUGGUCCCGGGCGACGCGAACUCGGAACUUGACUACGUUCUGAGGGAGGCGUGGUUGAUGGUGGAGGGCGCGGGCACAAGCUAUUUCGAGGACGAUAUGUAUUAUUAGUAAUGGACUUAAGUCCAAAAAUUGAAAAAUUGUAAGAGGAUUAAUACCUCGUUUUGUAUUAAUAAUGGACUGCUAAGCCCAAAAAUUGGGAAAAAUUGUAAGAGGUUUUAUACCACGUUUUGUGUUUAUCUUUUUAAAAAGAACAAUGUUUUAGAGAAGCAAAAGUCGGCGGGCGCUUUCUGUCUUCUCCCAUCCUUAUCUUUCUUUCAUUAUCAUUCACUUCAUUAAUGUCCUCGUCCAGCCCGCAAAGCUAACUUAAUCUGUGUACUGCCUUUAUGGCAAAUGUUUUGAAAUAAAGUAGCUUGUUUACCAACCACAUGGUUCCGGGUUCAGUCCCACUGCGUGGCACCUUGGGCAAGUGUCUUCUACUAUAGCCUCGGGCCGACCAAAGCCUUGUGAGUGGAUUUGGUAGACGGAAACUGAAAGAAGCCCGUCGUGAUGAUAAAAGAAGUUUGGGUAAGGUAGAAUUAUCUAAUUCUUAUGCUUUCCUAAAACUUGAUUUCGAAACGUACGUCCGUAGGUGACUUAAAAUUGUAUGAUAGAUUGCCGUCAUUUCAUUCUCUCUUACCUGUCUGUGUUUGCCAUUCAAGUGCUGUAUUUUUACUGAGAUCUCCCUUUUAGUAGAAAGAAUAGCUAUAACUCUUUGACUGCUAUUUCUAAAUUCGGUGUGUGGUGAGGCAAUUCGUUGCUAAACCCUUAAUUGCUUAGUAUUACUUAAAUUUUCCUCGAAUGAGGCUUUUACAUGCCGAAAUCUACUUGGUGUAAUUAAUAAUUAUUCCAAAUUAAUUAAUUUCACCCUUUAUUGUAUAUAUAUAUAUAUAUAUGCAUGUGUGUGUUUGUGUGUCUGUGUUUGUCCCCCUAGCAUUGCUUGACAACCGAUGCUGGUGUGUUUAUGUCCCCGUUACUUAGCGGUUCGGCAAAAGAGACCGAUAGAAUAAGUACUGGGCUUACAAAAGAAUAAGUCCCAGGGUCGAGUUGCUCGAUUAAAGGCGGUGCUCCAGCAUGGCCGCAGUCAAAUGACUGAAACAAGUAAAAUAGUGAAAGCGAGAGAGUAAAGAUAUAUUCUUUUUGUACUGUUCAGAAACACGAGGUUGUUACGGGUGAAGGUUAUUUUGUGAGUAUCUGUUCCUUGAUUUUGCACGGGUCUGGUGCGAGGACUUUAUGUUGCGUGUGUGAAGGAUACAAUGUAAGGACGAAGAAGAGUGUAGGAAGGUAUCAGCUAUAUAGAGAGUAAAGUAUCAUCUAGAUGCGUUAAUAUAUAUUUCUUUACUACCCACAAGGGGUUAAACACAGAGGAGACAAACAAGGACAGACAAAGGGAUUAAGUCGAUUACAUCGACCCCAGUGCGUAACUGGUACUUAAUUUAUCGACCCCGGGAGGAUGAAAGGCAAAGUCGACCUCGGCGGAAUUUGAACUCGGAACUUAACGGCAGACGAAAUACGGCAACGCAUUUCGCCCAGCGUGCUAACCUUUCUGCCAGCUCGCCGCCUUAGAUGCGUUAAUAUAGGAACUAUAGUUGAGCACAAUUAAUGUCCAUGACUUUCUACUCGUUCGUUGAAGAUAUAAAUUCAGCACAGUACAAGCUCACAAAAAGCUCAAUUUCACAAACUUUUUACUGGCGGAAAACUUGUUUAGUAGACCCGUUUCGUGUAAGGUAAUGUACACAUACCCAUCUCAGGAGAUGAGGUGAUUUUUAUUGAUAUUCAUUUUCAGCAUUUAAAACUCUAUAACCGCAUGAAUUAUACGGUCAGCAAUAAAGCUCCCGAUUAUGAUAUGUAGUUGGUCAGAGUGCUUCCCUACAUAUGGGUCACGUAGCUCAAUUAAGACUAAAUGGAACAGCCUCUGACUCGGAGUCUCGGUCCAGAGAUACUAUACGAACUAUCGACUCUUCCACUAACUCUCGAGUAGUUGUGAUUUUUUUUUGUAUUAUUGUUUGUUUCAGUUUCAUUGUUAACCUCUCUCUCUCUAUAUAUAUAUAUAUAUUAUAUAUAUAUACAAGAUCGAUUGGUACACUGAUGUAUUAAAACUAUUUUCUUUGAACAAAACUAGAUUAAUAAUAAAUUAAUUAAUCUUUUAAUUACAUUGUUAUAAUUUUUCUAUGAAAUACUUUGAAUAAACAAAAGAUAAACUCUUCUUUUUUAUUAUCUAAGCGUUCUGUAUUUUUUAUUUGUUUGUUGCUGUAUUUAAUUUUUAGUAAAUUAUAUUAUAAUAUUAGCAGAAAACAUUUUUUUGUUUUUUGCUGACUAAAUCAUUUCAAUGAAAUUAUAUUUUUAGCCAAAUGCUUUGUUGCUGGUAUUAUUAUCCUUAUUAUUAUUAUUAUUAUUAUUAUUAUUAUUAUUAUUAUUAUUAUUAUUAUUGUUGUUGUUAUUAAUAUCUCUGUUUCAUUUCAUUGAAAUGUUAUUAUUAUUAUUAUUAUUAUUGUUGUUGUUGUUGUUAUUGUUAUUAUUAUUAUUAUCAUCAUGAUUAUUAAUACUAAUUUGAUUGUCUGUUAUGUACAUUUAAAUGUCUUUCUAAGAACUGUUAUUGAUUUCUUCCGUUGCCACAUGGGCAGAUACAAAUUUGUAGAUCAAGGGUGCCACCUAUCGAAUAGAGUACAGUAUGCAAUCGUUACUCAUUUUAUUGAUCUUCGUCGAAAUUUCAAACCUAGAACGUCAAGGGACGGAACUAAAUAAUAACUACUGUAAUCCACUUAGUUUAGUAUUUAGUAAUGGUCUGUGCCGGAAUAUAGUGAAUACAAUAAGUUUAUAAAGUGGAACAAAUUAGCUGCUUGCGUGGAAGGAGAGACGUCUGAUAUUUCAGGAUGUACCAUUCCUCGCAGAGAUUUUAAAAAAAACAACUUACAAAUAGAUAUUGAGUAUUUGUUGAGAGAGAUGGGAAAGAGACAAAGACAGACAAGCAAAGAGUCAGAGGCAGAAAAAGCGAGAAAAAUUAUAGUAGAGAAUACGGCAAGGGGGGGUUAACAAGUAGAAAAUAAAUGGUAUAUGAAGUACAAUGAUCAAAGUAAGGAAGGAAGCACUCCGUCGGUUACGACGACGAGGGUUCCGGUUGAUCCGAAUCAACGGAACAGCCUGCUCGCGAAAUUAACGUGCAAGUGGCUGAGCACUCCACAGACACGUGUACCCUUAAUGUAGUUCUCGGGGAUAUUCAGCGUGACACAGAGAGUGACAAGGCCGGCCCUUUGAAAUACAGGUACAACAGAAACAGGAAGUAAGAGUGAGAGAAAGUUGUGGUGAAAGAGUAUACAUGAUAUAAAUAUAUAUGUAUAUAGAUAUAUAUACGCAUGUGUACAUAUAUGCAUAUAUAUAUAUGUGUGUGUGUGUGUGUGUGAGGGUAUAUAUAUAUAUAUAUAUAUAUGCGCAACCGGUAAAAAGAACUUUCACCUAAUUAAAUACACUCUCCCUUACUUAAAUUAUUUUGUCAGCAUUUUCUUCAUUUCCUUUUUUUAUAUAUCACAACUGGUGUUCGCCAUUUAAGAAACACACAAAACCGUUAGAUUCACUUCAACAAUUAAUUUAAUUUGUCAAAAUAUUUUCGUCGCUUUGAGACCGCGACCUGUUCACAGCACGAAAUUUUGUCAGUGAACAGGUCGCGGUCUCAAAGCGACGAAAAUAUUUUGACAAAUUAAAUUUAAAUGUUGAAGUGAAUCUAACGGUUUUGUGUGUUUCUUAAAUGGCUUAUAAACACCUUCCAUCCUGCAAUUGUUAUCGUUCCAGCACACGAUCUCAGAUCAAGUCACUAUGCAAGUACAUCUCCAUAUAUAUACAUAUAUACAUACAUAUAUACUUACAUAUAUAUAUAUAUAUGUAUGUAUGUAUAUAUGUAAUAUAUGUACGCAUAUGUAUAUAAUAUGAUUAGUAUGAUAUCGUGUGUGUGUGUGUAAAUUAGUGUACUAUUUCUAUAUUUAUUUAUAUAUAUAUUCAUUUCUUGUUUUUUUUUCAUUUGCAGGUAAGUUCAAAUAUUUUCAUCUUCCGUAUCAAUUGAGAUUAUUACUUUUAUCAAACACAAAUCGGAUUACCUAAACAUGGAUGCGGAGGGCGAAUCCAAGGUAAAGAACUUUUUAUCCAAUCAAUUUCUUUGUCAAUUCUAACAGUUGUCGCCAUUACCAUUUUAUCAUCAUCUUCGUCAUUACCAUUGUCAGAAUUGUUGCAUUUGUUAUUGUUUUGUUGUUGUUGAUUUUUUUUGUUUUUGUUUUUGUAAUCGUUGUUACAAAUUUUCGUUUCAAAUAACUUUUGAUGUUGCAAGGAAAGUAUCAGGGCAGUCGAACCGAUCGAUACCUUUCAUUUGCAAAGAAAAAAGAAAAAGAAAAACUUGCUCCGCACUCAUUUUGUCAGAUAUGCUACAAGCAAAGAGAGGGUCGUGACAUAAUAUAUACGUGCAUAUGUGUGUAUGUGUGUGUGUGUUUGUGUGUGUUUGUGAGUAUGUGUGUGUGUACGUAAGUGAGUCUGUCUAUAUAUUUGCAUAUGUUAUAAAAGUUUAAAUUAAGUAGUAGGAGUGCUAAGCAUUGAUAUGUAUAAAUGCAAUGUUAUUACCAUUUCGAAUAUGCCAAUAGCAAGUCCGUACAAGUCCGACACACGAGUGGCAUAUUCGAACAGGUAAUAACAUUAGAUAUAAAUGUUUAGUGCUCCUUUUUUUUUAUUUCAACGUGUGUUGAAGGGGCUGAAACACCUACAGAACUGCUUCCUCGCCUAACAACAUGUCGACUUGUGCAUUCGAGAUUGGAGAAUGGCAACACCGUCAGCACACAUGUCUUUAUUAUAUAUAUAUAUAUAUAUAUAUAUAUACAUAUAUAUACAGAAAAUAGUAAAAAGUGAAAAAACUACAGAAGGCUUGUUUUAAAAGGUUAAAAAAUAUAUAUUUGAGUCAAUAUGUCUGAAGAAUGUUAUAAAUUUUUUUCUUACAAUGAUAUAGUUUAGAAGAAAUAAUUUGUCAGUAGCCAGUCAUGAGACGCGAACUCACAACCCUGUGAUUAUUGGUCAAGUACUUUACCAAGUAAGCUAAACUGCCCACUGACUUGUGAGUAUGUCAUUCUAAGAAAAAAAUUUAUAACAUUCUUCGGACAUAUUGACUCAAAUAUAUAUUUUUUAACCUUUUAAAACAAACCUUCUGUAGUUUUUUCACUUUUUACUAUUUUCUAUAUAUUCAACCACGUGCUUUCACAAACCAACUUUCUCAUCUAUAUAUAUAUAUACAUAUAUAUAUAUAUAUACAUAUAUAACAAAGGAAUAAGGAUUUCCCAAUCCAGGCGGAUACUUUAUAAGCACUUUGUUUUAAUUCCAGCCUGGCUAAUUAUAAUAUCUGUGUCCAGUAAAUUCACCGUCCUCAAUUCACGAUUUAAUUUCCAUUAUUUUCGUUUUUACUUUUAUCUUAUUUUAUUUUAUUUUCAAUAAAAUAGUUUUUAACUAUUAAUGGUGAGCAACUAUGGAUAUAUUUUCUCGAUGAACUUUCUUCACGGGGAACUUCCUUCACAGUGAAAUGAUGGUGGUGAACUCUCCUACGAUGAAUUAAUGGCUGUGAACUUACCUGAAAUCAAUUAUAUUGACCAGUAGGAAACAUUACGAAUGGUGAAGAGCAUGCAAUUAUAGUUGUACUCGUCUUCGAUUAGUAAAUUGGAGUUCCUUCGAGAAAUUUCACGUAAAUUUCUUUUCAGUGAGAAUGCCUUGAAAAUGUAAUGCUGCCAUACAUCUUUUGAUCUACAUAAAAAAUAUAGUCGAUUUAAUAUGAACCAAUCAGGCGCAGGAGUGGCUGUGUGGUAAGUAGCGUGUUUACCAGCCACAUGGUUCAGGGUUCAGUCCCACUGCGUGGCACCUUGGGCAAGUGUCUUCUACUAUAGCCUCGGGCCGAUCAAAGCCUUGUGAGUGGAUUUGGUAGACGGAAACUGAAAGAAGCCCGUCGUAUUUAUGUAUAUAUAUAUAUGCGUGUCUGUGUUUGUCCCCCUGUGUGUAUAUGUCCGUUACUUAUGUUCGCGUUACUUAGCGGUUCGGCAAAAGAGACCGAUAGAGUAAGUACUGGGCUUACAAAAGAAUAAGUCCCGGGGUCGAGUUGCUCGAUUAAAGGCGGUGCUCCAGCAUGGCCGCAGUCAAAAUGACUGAAACAAUUAAAAGAGUAAAAGAGUAAUCAGUGUGCAGAACCAUCGCUCUAAGUAUCCCUAAACGCUUGCAUAACAGAAACGAGCAGAGGCAUUUUAUAUUUUGCAGAUAUUAAUUAAAGCUGUGUAAUUCUCCAUUUUUCAGUCACACACACUCACAGACACACUUACACAUACACACUUAUGUACACGCACACUCACACACACAGGCGCACACACACUGAUGAUGCCAGUAAAGUUCAACCGCAACUAUGUCAUCUUCUGGAGAUGAAGAAAGGUCCGCAUGACCACGUGUCUUCCCUGUCUUUCUACCCCACCCUCUUCUCCUCUCCUUCUCUUGAUGAACGAUUACGAACGAGCUUACAUUUCUGUUUUGAGUGGUCAAUCAGCCAGCCAGAACAACAGACAAAUCUCCCAAAACCAUGCUUACGGUAACAUCAUCAUCAUCAUUACUAUCACCACUUUCAUCAUCAUUUUUAUCAUCAUCAACAUGUUACGACCACUUUUCUAUGCAGAUAUGCGUUGGUCGUGUCUUCAUUGUCCGAAUGCAUCUCCCCGUUAAAUGUUGCUGGUUUUCUUGUGGUGUUGGAGGACCAAGACUUGUUCGCACAUUAACUUCCAAUUUUUGUUCUGAUUUCUAUGCGUGACUGCCGUUCCAAAUACCAAUUCUUUACAGAUUGUUCUCGGUACAUUUGAUCAUGACACUGGCACUAGACACAUUAACAUGGUUGGUUUAUCCGGUUUCGCUUAACAAAAUAUAGAGAGCGGAACAAAAAGUAUAGAAGAGACACAGGGUAAGUUAACGUAGGAGGUGCAGGAUGAGUGGGAGGAAAGAAUCAUAGCGGCAAAGAAAGAAAUGAGUAUUUACGGGAACAGCUAUAAACACAAGAAAUUUGUUUUAUUCAAUUUAAUAUUAAGGUAAUAGAUAUUAUUCUGUUGAAGACGAAUAUUCAUAUCAUCAUUUUGUAUAAGCAUCUAUAACUUUAAUAAAAGAUAAUUUAAAACUAUUGUAUGCAAUAUUUCCUGACAUUAUCCCGAGUGGAAAAAUGCAUAAUUCUAAAAAAUAACCCGUUGUAUAAUGGUACCACUCUAGUAACAAUAAUAACAGCCUCUCCUUAAUUGAUUUCACGGUGCCAUACAUAUAUUGCAAAACGUGUGAAACAAAUGAGCUACGAAACCUGUGGAGAUAAUAGAUAUCCAUUGUGCAUAUUUAACAGGGACUGGGUAAAUCGAAAUACAAAACAUCACAACUGGCUAGAAAUUCAUCAGAAAAAUAAAACUCCUACAAAGUGUCAGAAACCACCAACGAGCUGGAUUCAGGGUUCUUCAUGAGUAGGUCAACUUACACAACGAACGCCGCCCGCAAAUUGAUAUAUCUGGAUUUUCCCACGAGCUUUUCUCUAAUAUCCCGGGUUUCGGCAUCCGGUGGCUGGUCUGCUUGUUUUCUUUUUAAAUGGCGGUGCCCCAGCAUGGCCACAGCUCGUGAGCUGAAACUAGAUAAAAUAAAAUAAAAUAAAUAAAAUAAAUACGGAACAUCCACAUUCUCUUGGCUAUUCAACUUGAGUUGUUGAUGAUAUUUUGAUGUAGUUUCCAGGAAAUACCCGCCAUUUUGGUGUUUGGAAAGUGUCUUCCGGCCACUCCGGCCAAUCAGUACAAUCUUCUACUUAUCAUACAUCAAAUCAGUAACUCUAUAUUGCUUGUGUCACUAUUUCGGGUGCUUCUUCAUGAGUGAUCUCUUUCACCUCACUAGUCUCAAUUUUGUCCCUUCGUUCUUUUUUCACUGUCUCUGACGGAAUCUCACCCCUUGCCAAAUGCUUCAUGUCUUGGAUAUCGCCACAAUACGAUAGAGUGGAAUUGCUGUUCCGUGUCUCUAGCCGGUUCUGUAAAGUGGGAGAACAUUUAUUGGGUUCAUGGUGCCAAGUAAUCUCCAUAUAUUCCGAUACACAUGAUCUGCCAGAAUUUUCCAAACCUAUUAUUGCGAGUGAACAUGGAUAUCUUUUCUUUUACUUUAUGAGGAUUUUAGCAUCAAGUAAUCUUGGAAUAAAUUACUAAAAAUAGGAUCUCUGUAAACGUUACGAGUUUAGAUGAAUAAACAUUAUCAACGAUUUCUUAGAGGUAUAAAGACAGAAACAUGGGGGAAAGGUUAUAUCGAUUAUAUCGAUCACAGUAAUUGAUUGAUCCUUUAUUUCACCGGAUCUGAAAGGAUGAAAGAUAAAGUGGAGCUUGAAUGGAUUUGAUCUCAAAGCGUAAAGAAUUGGAAAAAUACCGCAAAGCAGUUAUUAUGACGUUCUAAAGGUUUUAACAAUUCACCGCCCUUAAUAUUAGUUUCAAGUUUUGGCACAAGGCCAGCAGGAUCGGGGUAGGGGUUAAAUUAAUUACAUAGACCCCUAGUGAUCGACUGGUACUUCUCUAUUAGACCCUGAAAUGAUAAACGGUAAAGUUGACUCCUGAGGGAUUUAAACUUACAACUUCAUGAGUCGGAAAGAAUGCCACGGAGAAUUUUAUAAUAUUAAGCAAAAGGACAGGUUUAUUGUUUGGAGACAAUGGCUUAUUUUAGCCAAAUUAUUAACUUGGUUUUAAUUGUGUGCUAGAAUUUUUAUGUAAGUCUGCAGCUUAUAAGGUAGAACCAUUGUCAUGCUGAUGACCCUAUUGAGGAAGAAAAGGUGCUCAUCAUUCUCCACAAUAAACUUUCCAUUCUCAAUGAAAUGUCCAAUUUUUUGGAGAAUUCUUUAUUCUUGAGAUUAUCUCCAUUUCUCAUAUGGUGUCGGUCUCUAUCACCAUUUGAUAACUGUGAUACAACUUCUACAGGCAGAGAUAUUUUUAAUAAAACAAGAAUUUAUGGUCUUUGAUUUGCGUCUCUUUCUUUGCCGUUCAUAUACGAGCAAUGAUGUCUCUGAGUUAUUUCUCUUAGCUAUUUUUUUUAAUAUUAAUUAUGCAUACACAAAUAUAUAAACAUUUAAGUGCGUAUAUGUCCCACAUAUAAUGAUAAUGAACAAAUGUGUAGAAUAUAUAAUUUAAUAUCCAAGCAAAAUUAUUCAGCCGUAGAAUCAAUUAGUUUUAGAAAUUGCUGCAAACUAUCUGUUUUGCGCGUAUAAAUACACAUGGAUGUAUAUGUAUGUGUGUCUGUGUGCGCGCGCAUAUGUGCUUGUAUGUGUGUAUACACACACACAUGUAUAUAUAUAUAUAUGUAUAUAUAUAUAUAUAUAUAUAUAUACAUACAUACAUACAUAUACGUGAGUAUAUAUAUAUACAUACAUACAUACAUAUACGUGAGUAUACGUAUAUAUCUAUACCAGCAUAUACAUGUAUAUAUAAUGAUAUAUGUAUAAUACUGUAUGUCUAUUUAGUGCCAGAUAGAUAGAUAGAUAGAUAGAUAGAUAGAUAGAUAGAUAGAUAGGUAAAUAGAUAUAGAAAGAGAGAACGAUGGAGACACAUGGCCAUGCAUACAUGAGUAUUUUUAUAUAUAUAGGGUAUAUAUAUAAAGAUAUACAUAUAUACAUGUGUAUGUGUAUACAGGUAUGUGAAUAUAUAUCUGUCUAUGUAAUAUGUAUGCAUAUAUACAUAAAUACAUGUAUAUUUGCAUACAUGCAACAUUUCAUACUUGCAUAUAGAUAUGUGCGUGUGUGUCUGUGUUUCUAUCGAUGUGUGUGGGGGGUGAAAGAGAGAGAGAGGGGGGGGAGAGAGAGAGAGAAAAUGAAAAUUACAAUCGAUAACAAUCCAGACAAAGAAGUAAUCAGCUUUUAAAUUUUCACGAGAAUUGAACCCGCCUACUUGUAGAUUGCGGAGGAGGGUCCAGCAGCAAUUAGACUGAUUGCUAAAUGAUGAAUAAAACAGCAUACCUGUUGGGAAGCAAUUAGUGAUUAUGACGAGUGUUUUCCUCCUUCCAGAAAAAAUUAAGUUACAAUGUUCUGUUAUUGAUAAAAUAUUUGUUUAGCCCGGACGCAAUGAAAACAGAUCGAUAGAUCGAUAAAUAUAUCUAAUAUAAAUGUAUGCAUUUCGAGAAAUAUAUGCGUGUUUGUGCAAAUGUGUAAAUACGUGUGUGUAUAUAUAACUAUGCAUAGACAGAUAAACAUAGAUGUAUAUAUAUAUAUAUAUGUGUGUGUGUGUGUGUAUGUAUGAGUAUGUGUGUGUGCGUGUGUGUGUGUGUACAUAUAAGCACACAUACAUGUAUGCAUGAAGGAAUGUAUGGAUGUAAAUAUACGUGCUAACACACAAACACACAUAUACACACAUACGUAUAUAUGUAUAUGUAUAUGCAUAUGUAUACGUAUGUGUGUAUAUAUAUAUAUAUAUAUAUAUAUAUAUAUAUAUAUAUAUUUAUAUAUACAUAUAUAUACAGAAAUAUGCAUAUAUAUAUAUAUAUAUAUAUAUAUAUAUAUAUAGUUUUGUUAGAUAGUUGUUUCGUGACAGCUAACAGCAAACUUUCACUUAUGAUCGGAUUCAAUCCUGAAGGAAGACUUAAUUUUGUUAUUUAUAAAGUUUAUCCGUGAUUUCAAAUUUUCUCUUUGGUAGCUUAGUCAAAGUUUCUUUUUGAAUAUAUUUCCAGAGGCGAACUUUUAACUGACGUCUCAAACCUUAUAUUUGUGCAUAUCUGUUUGCCUACUAUUCACAUGCGCAUACAAUGUAUGUGUAUGCGAAUGUGUGUCUACGUAGGUUUGUAUUUAACAUAAUUCAAAUAAGUCGAUAAUAUUUAUAUGUGUUAAGUUUGGUAUUGGUUACAAUUGUUUCAGUGCCAUUCCGUUCAAGAAUUGCAUAAUAUUUGUACCAAUAUAGGCAUUUGACAAGAUCGACCAUGGAAUGAUAUGCCACAAAAUACGGGGACUCGGCAUCACAGGUAAAGUCGGAGAGUGGCUGCAUGAUUUCCAAACUGUAGCAGCCAACGGACCUCUCUCCAGAGACACCAAUAGUGAGUGGAGUACCCCAAGGCACUGUGUUGAAGCCACUGCUUUUCAUGGUAGCCCUAUCGCAUAUGCCAUCAAUGACAGAGGCAGUCAUGCUUACCAGCUAUGCAGACAACACGAAAGUCGUACAGUCAGUCAAGGAAACCUCUGAUGCUACUCUAUUACAGAAAGAUCUAGAUGCCAUCUAUACAUGGGCUGAGGAUAACACCAUGCAAUUUAAUGCAAGUAAAUUCCAGACCCUCUGCUACGAGUUAAGCACUGCUCAGGAAUCACGGCAUCAGUACGUUGGACCAAGUGGAGCAAUGAUCCCAGAAUCAAAUACUGUGCGUGAUCUUGGAAUAGAAAUAAGCAACAAUGCCUCAUUUCACACACAUAUCAACAAAAUGGUAGCAGUAUCCAGAAGACUUGCUCGUUGGAUUCUGAGAACCUUUCGGACAAGGGACCAAGAAACUAUGAUAACACUAUGGAAGUCAUUUAUCAUCAGCCGACUGGACUACUGCUCUCAGCUUUGGUCACCUUAUACUACAAGGACGAUAGCAGAGCUUCAAACAGUCCAACGACAUAACACAAAGAAAAUUGCAUCAAUGGAAAGAUUGAGUUACUGGGACAGUUUGAAAGAACUGCGACUAUAAUUCCCUGGAACGGAGGCGGGAGAGGUAUGCAGUGAUAUAUAUAUGGAAGAUACUGAAAAGUCUGGUGCCAAACUUUGGAAUAAAGAGCUAUACUAGGCAAGGACGAUGCACUGCAAUAGCUUGGGUUUCAAGGGCCCACAGUUGUUUAACUGUCUGCCGAAGGAUCUGAGGAGCCUCCAUGGAGUGGAUGUAGACGUUUUCAAACAUGAACCUGACCUCUGGCUCGCCGAGAUCCCGGAUGAGCCAAUAUCUAAGCAAGAAACUCAAAAGAGGGCAGUAGCAUCGAACUCCAUCUUUCACCAAAAGCCGCUCCGACAAAGGUGGAAAGUGGAAAGAUGAUUACAAUGGCGGUGCUCCAGCAUGGCCACAGUCUUUGGACUGAAACAUAUAAAAGAAUAAAAGAAUAUAUCAAUGGCUGAAGUGUGUAUGAUUGACACCUUAUCAAACACAUAUCCAACUUUGUUACGAUACAGCUAGUCACAAAUGUGUUUAACGUUGCUUAUGUACAUGGAGGAACAAAGAAGAAGAAGAAAGAGGAGGGGGACGGGAGGAGGCGAGGAGGAGGAGGAGGAGAAGGAGGGGGAAGAGGAGGAGGUUUCACUGGUACUUAAUUUAUCGACUCCGAAAGAAUGAGAGGCAAUGUCCUUUCCGGCUGAAUUUGAAUUCAUAACGUAAAGACGGACGAAAUGUUGCUGAGCAUUUUGUCCGGCGUACUAACAACCGCGUCAGCAUGCCGCCUUGAGAAGAAUGAUAAUAAUGGCAACAAUAUUAAUGCCAGUACCGAUAGACAGGCUCCGGUGAUAAAAAGAUUUAAUAUGUACAUAGUAUGUGUGCAUUUUUACAUGUCUAAAUCUGUGUAUAUAUUUUUUAUUUCUUCAUUGACCACAAGGGGCUAAAGACAGAGGGGACAAACAAGGACAGGCAAACGGAUUAAGUCGAUUAUAUCGACCCCAGUGCGUAACUGGUACUUAUUUAAUCGACCCCGAAAGGAUGAAAGGCAAAGUCGACCUCGGCGGAAUUUGAACUCAGAGCGUAGCGGCAGACGAAAAACCGCGAAGCAUUUCGCCCGGCGUGCUAACGUUUCUGCCAGCUCGCCGCCUUAUGUGUUUCUAUGUAUGUAUACACACACAUACACAUACACGCACAUAAGUGUGUGUGUGUGUGGGGGGUGUUUUCAUGGAUCAAUUUGGAGGUGUUUCGAAAGUAGUUGAAGAAACAGCGCAGAAGUAUCCAGUCAGUCACUAUUAUUGAUGUUGAAGAGGAGAAAUUGUAAAUGAUUUGAAAGAAUACACAGAGGGGAAAUGAUAGAUGAAAUGCAAUGCUCAGGUGCUAUCCUGAGCUGUUAUUCUCAUUUCUCUGCUAUAGAGGCAAGCAUAAGUGUAUGUAGGUAUUCAACAUGUAGCGAUAAAGCAGAUAUGAGUGUGCAGAUAUAACAUCCUCGGCACGCUGGCAAACCACGAAUUAUCUGGUAGAGUGAUCUUGAUAUUGUAUUAGAUAUCGAAGAAUUUCCUAGAAAUUUAUGUCCUGAAAUAUGAAAUAUCAAACGAAGGCUGCGUGCAGCAUAAUGUUAUGGCUAGUGUCAGGAAUCUAUGCUGCUAAUGUUGCGUGGGAGUUCACGGGUUGCAUCUCCAUUCCCUUAGGGGACCUUAAAUUUCCGUCGUUAGAUAGCGGUAACCGUGGCGGUGUUUUAUGUGGUAAAACUUCCGGUGCGUCGCUUCCCGUGUGGAUUACGCAUAUUGCAGUCCAUUGCAAAAUUUCUCUUCCUACGAACUGCUGCUCACUAUGGCGUAUCAUUUAAAGUUCGCAGAGAAUUAUUUUUAUUGCGCAACUACGAACGUAAUUGUCGUGUGGAUGCUAGUUAGGGUGCUUAGAUUCUAGUUCUCAUCGUGGGAUCAGGUAACGUGAGUGGAACAGAAAGAGUAAGAGAGAAAUUGGUAGGGAGAUUAAAGUGGUGGAAGAGAAAAGGUAAAAAUACUGAAGAUUAAAGAGAACAACGGUAAGAGGACAAAAAUGUGGCCAGUGGCAAAUACUUGGGUGACAAAAUUGUCAAACUUCCUGGUUUCUGUCACCUAAGUUAGGGUGAGAAAGUGGUGUAGC
rnacentral:lncRNA from 1 species